rnacentral:rRNA from 1 species
UGGGGAAUAUUGGACAAUGGGCGAAAGCCUGAUCCAGCCAUGCCGCGUGUGUGAAGAAGGCCUUCUGGUUGUAAAGCACUUUAAGCGAGGAGGAGGCUACUUGGAUUAAUACUCUAGGAUAGUGGACGUUACUCGCAGAAUACGCACCGGCUAACUCUGUGCCAGCAGCCGCGGUAAUACAGAGGGUGCGAGCGUUAAUCGGAUUUACUGGGCGUAAAGCGUUCGUAGGCGUCUUCUUAAGUCGGAUGUGAAAUCCCUGGGCUUAACCUAGGAACUGCAGUCGAUACUGUGAAGCUAGAGUAUGGGAGAGGAUGGUAGAAUUCCAGGUGUAGCGGUGAAAUGCGUAGAGAUCGGGAGGAAUACCGAUGGCGAAGGCAGCCAUCUGGCCUAAUACUGACGCUGAGGUACGAAAGCAUGGGGAGCGAACAGG